AUGUGUCUGCCUCCUGCUGAGCUUGGGUGAAGAUUCGAGCUGAAGCUGACGGACCUUCUUCACGGAAACCUGAGGAAUGAGGGGCUGACCCUCUUCCUCUGCCUCGACCACUAACCUGAAACACGGCUGGAGCUACUGGCUGAGCUGCUCUACCUGAAGCUGCUUGUUGGGACGGAGCCAACCUGGGUGCAGUGGGACACUCACGUGCUAUGUGCCCCUCCUGUCCGCACCUGUAACAUAGAUUAGUCCCAUAACGGCAGACUCCCUUG
rnacentral:lncRNA from 1 species